UACGGAGGGUGCAAGCGUUAUCCGGAUUCACUGGGUUUAAAGGGUGCGUAGGCGGAUAGGUAAGUCCGUGGUGAAAUCCUGCAGCUUAACUGCAGAACUGCCGUGGAUACUAUCUAUCUUGAAUGUCGUGGAGGUUAGCGGAAUAUGUCAUGUAGCGGUGAAAUGCUUAGAUAUGACAUAGAACACCCAUUGCGAAGGCAGCUAGCUACGCGAUAAUUGACGCUGAUGCACGAAAGCGUGGGGAUCAAACAGG
rnacentral:rRNA from 1 species